rnacentral:lncRNA from 1 species
GCUGCCUUAGUGACCCAGGAGGGAGAGUGUGACACAGAGCUGAGUCCUGCUUCCCGGCCUGUCAGGGCCCAUAGGCCCAUUCCGCGGGUAAAGGAGAGUCAGCUCUCCAGGCGAGCGUCCCGUGCAAGCCAGAGCAGCAAACCACGGAGCUAGAGCAGGGAGGCUUUGCCUCGAGAAGACGAUGCAAAGGCAACGGGCAGAAAGGGAUUGGGCACCGGUAGGACCGUGCCAUAACAUGGAUCCACAGCGAACAUUCUUGGCCCAAUGGCCGACACCUUCCCAGGCAGAACGCGGCACUCGGUCUCAUCUCCUGUCACUGGCUGUUCUCUCCGGGGAUGUUUCCUUUUCCUGCGGCCCUUGUGGUGUAGAUUUUCCCCGGGACUUUGUCCUCAGAUCCCUUCCCUUCUCCUUCUGCCCUGCUCCCGGUGGCUGUCACUUGGAAGACUUACAGACCCAGC